ensembl:lncRNA
UCACCAACCUCUGCCCCGUGAACUCCGUCCGAGUCAGAGGCAGAGGUGUGGGAAAGGGAACUGUCACAUUCACCCCGAAGGAGCCGCCAAGGUGGCUGGAGAGGAUGACAGGCUGAGGACUCGGCCAGGUGCUCAUGUGGAAGCCUGAGAGACAUCUUCCACCUCUCCAAGAGAAGGGAGGUUCCCCACUUCCUUUUGUGUGAUGGGGAUCCAGGGGCAUAUUGGUGCGGGAGCUGAAUGGAGACAAUUUCCACUGCCAAGGCUGCUCUGAGGCAAAUCCACACAAUGAAAAGCUGUUGCAGAACUGAUCAAGGCCAGUCAGCGUCCUCCCAGUCCCUGGAAAAGGCAUAGAGCACAUCCUCAUCAAAUUUGUUUCCAGAUGUAUGAAGGACAAGAAGUCUUUCAGUCUGCAAGGAUUUUCCAUGAGCAAUCAGCCUGUUUUCCCUGUGUGAUGAAGUGGCUGGCUACGUGGACCUCCACACAUUUUCCUCUGUAAGAUAAGGAGAUGUGGGCUGGAUGACCAGCCCAGGAGAUCGGCUGAACUUUGACUGAACUUCCAGAGACAUUCCCUUGAAAGAGAAUUAUAAGUACAAUGGAGCCAAACUCUUCUUGGCAGGAGCAGAUGGUAAAACAAGUGGCUGGGGAAAUUCAGAUUGGACAUURGAGAAACUAUCUCAGUAGGAGGGUAAUGGACAGCACUGGAACAGGGUACCGAGAGAAACCAUGAAAUAUCUGGUUUUCAAGACUCAGUCAGAAAAAGCCACAGCUGACCAGACCUAGUGCUAGUGACAGYCUUGUAUCAAGCAGGACUUUGGACUAGAUGUCGUCCAGAGGUCCUUUCAAAUCAAAGAAAUAGAAAUUUUCGCUCUUCCAAAUAAUUUGGCUCAGGAUAUCCAGGACUAGGUAGAACGGAGAACCUGUCAGAGACAUCACAAGAUCUGUGAUCCUACUGAAGAGGAUAAAUUUUCUUUAUAUUUUUAGAGAAAGAAUUUGAAAUGGACUAUAUCUGUGAAUACCUGCAAAUUGUUUUCCCACUCCAUAGUGACAGAUCAYGCUUCUACAAAAUCUUGCUGCAGAAAUGGAUACCUGGAGGUAUAAAGAGAGAAGUGUUGGAUAUUUAUGCCUUGCAGAAGAAAAUACUGAUUUCUCUACUUUUGGCUGGGCAGUGGACAUUGCAACACAAAUGAGAAACAAUAAUCUAUCAUUUUCCAGCUGUAAUACUGCCGGCAAACUUUAACCAGGGAAAGUUAAACGGCUCACCAGGAGCAAAACAACCUCUGGCUCAAAGCGGGAAGAGGUUGUGAUCCCUUAAGGAGCAAAGACAUCUUCCAGGAAGAGCCUGGAAUGGAAAAUGUUGCGCCGCAGAGGCUAAAUGGCUCUCAACAGUUGAGCUUGCUGGCAUGUAUCUAAAACUACAGCAACUGCAAUGUAAAGACUGCAGAACAGCUAUGGCAUGAGGGGAAAGGCUCACUCUGCAGCGUGAACACAGCAGGAGGAGAGCAAGCUGCGGGGCAGGGACUGGGACUCUCCUGGGCUUUGACGUGCCGCUUGAGGUGCUCACUUGAUAUUUCUCUUGAAAAGGUUUAAUUAGGUUCAGAUACAAUGUUUUUGUUCUCUCUGACCAUUCAUUUUUCCCCAGCAAGCAGCAAGCCACUUCUCUGAAUACAAAUUUGCCGGCUGUCAGAACUGAGUCUGAUGUGUUUCUUAAAUGCAUGAACAAGUAAAAUGAAAAAUUUUGAGGUCUAUAUGAAGAGACUGUGUGCAUGUGACACCCAGACUUGCACAUUUUAUUUUGAUCUUUUCCCUCUCAUUUCUAUUCGGUCUUAUUAAUUCUAAAUCCGUCUUCUUCCUCUGUCUUUUAAAUGUUAUUUGUACCAUUUUAUCAUCACUGUUCAUUUUUGUCCCUUCCAUAAAAAACAAUAAAAUAUUAAUGUGGCAUAAAAAAUCUGUCUGU